rnacentral:rRNA from 1 species
UUAAAUUGAAGAGUUUGAUCAUGGCUCAGAUUGAACGCUGGCGGCAGGCCUAACACAUGCAAGUCGAACGGUAACAGGAAGAAGCUUGCUUCUUUGCUGACGAGUGGCGGACGGGUGAGUAAUGUCUGGGAAACUGCCUGAUGGAGGGGGAUAACUACUGGAAACGGUAGCUAAUACCGCAUAACGUCGCAAGACCAAAGAGGGGGACCUUCGGGCCUCUUGCCAUCGGAUGUGCCCAGAUGGGAUUAGCUAGUAGGUGGGGUAACGGCUCACCUAGGCGACGAUCCCUAGCUGGUCUGAGAGGAUGACCAGCCACACUGGAACUGAGACACGGUCCAGACUCCUACGGGAGGCAGCAGUGGGGAAUAUUGCACAAUGGGCGCAAGCCUGAUGCAGCCAUGCCGCGUGUAUGAAGAAGGCCUUCGGGUUGUAAAGUACUUUCAGCGGGGAGGAAGGGAGUAAAGUUAAUACCUUUGCUCAUUGACGUUACCCGCAGAAGAAGCACCGGCUAACUCCGUGCCAGCAGCCGCGGUAAUACGGAGGGUGCAAGCGUUAAUCGGAAUUACUGGGCGUAAAGCGCACGCAGGCGGUUUGUUAAGUCAGAUGUGAAAUCCCCGGGCUCAACCUGGGAACUGCAUCUGAUACUGGCAAGCUUGAGUCUCGUAGAGGGGGGUAGAAUUCCAGGUGUAGCGGUGAAAUGCGUAGAGAUCUGGAGGAAUACCGGUGGCGAAGGCGGCCCCCUGGACGAAGACUGACGCUCAGGUGCGAAAGCGUGGGGAGCAAACAGGAUUAGAUACCCUGGUAGUCCACGCCGUAAACGAUGUCGACUUGGAGGUUGUGCCCUUGAGGCGUGGCUUCCGGAGCUAACGCGUUAAGUCGACCGCCUGGGGAGUACGGCCGCAAGGUUAAAACUCAAAUGAAUUGACGGGGGCCCGCACAAGCGGUGGAGCAUGUGGUUUAAUUCGAUGCAACGCGAAGAACCUUACCUGGUCUUGACAUCCACGGAAGUUUUCAGAGAUGGAAUGGUGCCUUCGGGAACCGUGAGACAGGUGCUGCAUGGCUGUCGUCAGCUCGUGUUGUGAAAUGUUGGGUUAAGUCCCGCAACGAGCGCAACCCUUAUCCUUUGUUGCCAGCGGUCCGGCCGGGAACUCAAAGGAGACUGCCAGUGAUAAACUGGAGGAAGGUGGGGAUGACGUCAAGUCAUCAUGGCCCUUACGACCAGGGCUACACACGUGCUACAAUGGCGCAUACAAAGAGAAGCGACCUCGCGAGAGCAAGCGGACCUCAUAAAGUGCGUCGUAGUCCGGAUUGGAGUCUGCAACUCGACUCCAUGAAGUCGGAAUCGCUAGUAAUCGUGGAUCAGAAUGCCACGGUGAAUACGUUCCCGGGCCUUGUACACACCGCCCGUCACACCAUGGGAGUGGGUUGCAAAAGAAGUAGGUAGCUUAACCUUCGGGAGGGCGCUUACCACUUUGUGAUUCAUGACUGGGGUGAAGUCGUAACAAGGUAACCGUAGGGGAACCUGCGGUUGGAUCACCUCCUUACCUUAAAGAA